AUUGGGCGUAAAGCGAGCGCAGGCGGUUAGAUAAGUCUGAAGUUAAAGGCUGUGGCUUAACCAUAGUAUGCUUUGGAAACUGUUUAACUUGAGUGCAGAAGGGGAGAGUGGAAUUCCAUGUGUAGCGGUGAAAUGCGUAGAUAUAUGGAGGAACACCGGUGGCGAAAGCGGCUCUCUGGGCUGUAACUGACGCUGAGAAGCGAAAGCAUGGGGAGCGAACAGGAUUAGAUACCCUGGUAGUCCAUGCCGUAAACGUUGGGCACUAGGUGUGGGGGACAUUCCACGUUUUCCGCGCCGUAGCUAACGCAUUAAGUGCCCCGCCUGGGGAGUACGGCCGCAAGGCUAAAACUCAAAGGAAUUGACGGGGGCCCGCACAAGCGGCGGAGCAUGCGGAUUAAUUCGAUGCAACGCGAAGAACCUUACCAAGGCUUGACAUGCAUUAGAUCGCGUCAGAGAUGGCGUUUCCCUUCGGGGCUGGUGUACAGGUGGUGCAUGGUUGUCGUCAGCUCGUGUCGUGA
rnacentral:rRNA from 1 species